CAGUAGGGAAUCUUCCACAAUGGGCGCAAGCCUGAUGGAGCAACACCGCGUGAGUGAAGAAGGGUUUCGGCUCGUAAAGCUCUGUUGUUAAAGAAGAACACGUAUGAGAGUAACUGUUCAUACGUUGACGGUAUUUAACCAGAAAGUCACGGCUAACUACGUGCAAG
rnacentral:rRNA from 1 species